UACGUAGGGACCAAGCGUUGUCCGGAUUUAUUGGGCGUAAAGAGCGUGUAGGCGGCCAAACAGGUCCGUUGUGAAAACUCGAGGCUCAACCUCGAGCUGUCGAUGGAAACCGUUUGGCUAGAGUCCGGAAGAGGAGAGUGGAAUUCCUGGUGUAGCGGUGAAAUGCGCAGAUAUCAGGAAGAACACCCGUGGCGAAGGCGGCUCACUGGACCGGUUCUGACGCUGAGGCGCGAAAGCGUGGGGAGCAAACGGG
rnacentral:rRNA from 1 species